rnacentral:rRNA from 1 species
CCCUUAGAUGUUCUGGGCCGCACGCGCGCUACACUGACGAAUGCAACGAGCUUAUAACCUUGGCCGAAAGGUCUGGGUAAUCUCCAAAUUUCGUCGUGAUGGGGAUAGAUUAUUGCAAUUAUUAGUCUUCAACGAGGAAUGCCUAGUAAGCGCAAGUCAUCAGCUUGCGUUGAUUACGUCCCUGCCCUUUGUACACACCGCCCGUCGCUCCUACCGAUUGAAUGGUCCGGUGAAGCGUUCGGACCGUGGCCUUUGGACGGUUCGCCGUCUGUUGGCUGCGGGAAGUUCGUUAAACCUUAUCAUUUAGAGGAAGGAGAAGUCGUAACA